GACGAACGCUGGCGGCGUGCUUAACACAUGCAAGUCGAACGGAAAGGCCCUGCUUUUGUGGGGUGCUCGAGUGGCGAACGGGUGAGUAACACGUGUGUAACCUGCCCUUGACUUUGGGAUAACUUCAGGAAACUGGGGCUAAUACCGGAUAGGCGCUCCUGCUGCAUGGUGGGGGUUGGAAAGUUUCGGCGGUUGGGGAUGGACUCGCGGCUUAUCAGCUUGUUGGUGGGGUAGUGGCUUACCAAGGCUUUGACGGGUAGCCGGCCUGAGAGGGUGACCGGCCACAUUGGGACUGAGAUACGGCCCAGACUCCUACGGGAGGCAGCAGUGGGGAAUAUUGCACAAUGGGCGGAAGCCUGAUGCAGCAACGCCGCGUGCUGGAUGACGGCCUUCGGGUUGUAAACCGCUUUCGCCUGUGACGAAGCGUGAGUGACGGUAAUGGGUAAAGAAGCACCGGCUAACUACGUG
rnacentral:rRNA from 1 species